GUUUACAAGUACCGCGAGGGAACGGUGAAAAGCACUCUGAUAGAGGGUGAAAAAGCGUCUAAAACUGUAUAGCGUAAUCGUAACGAUACACAUCAAACACACACGGACGCGCAGGUGGGUAAACCGCUAUUAUACGUGCCGGUGUGAUACUACUAGCCCGAAAGGGUGAUUACAAAAUGGCUUUAUCGCCUAUGAUAUGAGUAAUAUAGUCAACAAACGUACGAGAAGGAUAGUUGUUAAAGGCCGUCAGUCUUAAUACGGUUGAGGAUUAUGUUGCAAGUAGUUAUGGCAUGCCAUUCAGUAGUGUUAAUAUCGUAUGUGUUGGUUACGUCCCGUCUUGAAACACGGACCAAGGAGUCUAA
rnacentral:rRNA from 1 species